UACGUAGGGGGCAAGCGUUGUCCGGAAUCAUUGGGCGUAAAGAGCGUGUAGGCGGCUCGGUAAGUCCGCUGUGAAAGUCCAGGGCUCAACCCUGGAAUGCCGGUGGAAACUGUCGAGCUAGAAUCCGGAAGAGGCGAGUGGAAUUCCUGGUGUAGCGGUGAAAUGCGCAGAUAUCAGGAGGAACACCAAUGGCGAAGGCAGCUCGCUGGGACGGUAUUGACGCUGAGACGCGAAAGCGUGGGGAGCAAACAGG
rnacentral:rRNA from 1 species